CAUGUCUUGUAAUUGGAAUGAGUAGAAUUUAAAUCCCUUAUCGAGGAUCAAUUGGGGGGCAAGUCUGGUGCCAGCAGCCGCGGUAAUUCCAGCUCCAAUAGCGUAUAUUAAAGUUGUUGCAGUUAAAAAGCUCGUAGUUGGAUUUCUGGUGGGAGGGAUCGGUACUUCAUUCUUUGUUGUGACUUGAAUCCUCUCCGGCCAUCCUUGGGUGGAUCUUGUCUGGCAUUAAGUUGUCAGUCAGGGGAUGCCCAUCGUUUACUGUGAAAAAAUUAGAGUGUUCAAAGCAGGCUUAUGCCGUUGAAUAUAUUAGCAUGGAAUAAUAAGAUAGGGCCCUGGUACUAUUUUGUUGGUUUGCGUACCGAGGUAAUGAUUAAUAGGGACAGUUGGGGGUAUUUGUAUUCAGUAUUCAGUGGUGAAAUACUUAGACCUACGGAAGACAAACUACUGCGAAAGCAUUUACCAAGGAUGUUUUCAUUAAUCAAGAACGAAAGUUAGGGGAUCGAAGAUGAUUAGAUACCAUCGUAGUCUUAACCAUAAACUAUGCCGACUCGGGAUUGGUG
rnacentral:rRNA from 1 species